GCCGCCCGGGCGCACACGGAGCCGCGCGCCCGAGGGCCCGGACUUUGCGAACUGUUGAGCCGCUCCGGGCCGAGUCUUCCAGCGAGUUCCGACCGACGCCGCCGCCGUCGCCAGCCGGGCCUUGGCCCCGCCCCUCGCCCCGCCCCCUCCCCGCCCCGUCCCCCCGCGGGCUCUUCAGGAAAUGACGUCCCUCCUGGCGCGCCUGGCUGUUGCCUGGAGACGGGGUGAAACAGUCCGGCCCUAGGGAAGAAAGGGGUGAGAGUGGGGGUAGCAGCAGGAGACGCCCUGGGGGCCCUGCGAAGACUUCCCCAGCCCCGGGGUGAAGAGGAUAUUUUCAAGAAUAUUUUGCUUUAGGCAGCAGAAGCCUCUGUGCUUGGAGUCUUAGAAGAAAAUGAAACACUUUCUUCUGCAAACAUCGGACACCAUCUGGGAGGCUGUGCUAUUGUUUAACUUCAUAGAGGUGGAUCUGAGCAAGCAGACCAGAGCUCGAGCACAGGAAAGGAAAACGGGAGCCCUCCCGUCCGUCUUGUGAAACCGCCUUCCUGUCAGUUUGCACUGUGUCCCUCUGAGAGGCAGUGUGUAACUGCGCUCGAACCUCAAGAAUCCUAUUUCAUGUGUGAAGAUGUGUUUGUCUUUCAAGAAAUGAGCUCCUGGAAACCCCAGCUGCCUGGGCUCCUGAGGGCUUUCCUGCCUUGAGGCCCUGGAAGGAAAUCAUGAGUACCUGUUUGGCCUUGGCUGCAUACUGCCCUCUUCAGAGCUAAAACAGUAUUUGCUUUCAUUUGAAGCCCUUUGUUUCUUUCCUGAAGCCACUGUUGCCCCCCAGUGCAGGAAACUGAACCCAACACAUACACAUGCUGAAUAAGAUCUCCGACUACUGAGCUAUGCCCCAAGCCUGGGCUCUCUGAGACAAGAUCCCACCACAUAGCUCAGACCAUCCUGGAACUUGCUAUAUAGUUCAGGCUGACCUUGACCUCAUGAUCCCCCUGCUUCAACCUUCAAAGUGCCACCAUACCCAGCACCAAAGCCACUUUUAAUUGUUGUUGACAAUCAACUCGAGCUAACUUUUCUGGUCCAGAUGGUUCUGGGAAGUUGGACUCACUUAGGCAGCUGAAAAGACGGAAUAGGAAGGAGUAGGAAUAGUGUUUUGCUUUGUGCUUAGCACAACUUACAAGUGCUGAGAUACACUCUUUGUUGAGCUGGAUUUUUGGUCGUUGUCUGUCUCUCUUUUAGUUACUCUUGCAUCACUGUCACCAAAAUAUCUGGGAAAGACACGUUGUGGUGGGGUAUUAUUAUUAUUAUUUUUUGGCUUAAGGUUCCAGAAUGUUCAGUCCAUCAUGGUGGUUAAGGUUCCAGAAUGUUCAGUCCAUCAUGGUGGUGACACUGUGGCCCCAUAAUUUACAUCCCAGGAAGUAAAGUGGAACAGGAAUUAGCCAGGGGCAAUAAUUAUCUCCAAAAGCUAUCUCCAGUGACCUGCCUCCAACAACAAAAGCUGUCUCCAGUGACCGGCUUCUGACAACUGGGCCCCACCUCCCAAAUCUCUAAACAUCCUCUCCUUCCCCCCACCCUAAAUAGUGUCAUCAGCUUGGAACUAGCUUUUCAAACUGUGAGACUAUGGGGUUCAUUUUUUAGAUUCUGGAUACCCCAGUCUUCACAAAUACAGCCUGCACAUUUCAUGCAUGGAAUGAAACGUAUGACACAUUACUUCCUUCUCUCUCCUCCUCCUCUCUCUUGCACUCUUUAAAAGUCCUUUUCUAUUUCAUAGUUAUUUGGAGCCUCUCUCUCCUUCCCUCAAAUUCACUGAAAUGUCUCCUUAGAAUGUGAUAGAGAUUAAUUUGAGAUGCAUUUCCUGUGGGACAUAUAGAAACCCGUAGCUGGUAUUUUUUGAAUGGCACUGUUUAAACAUGUAUAUGUUUUCUUCACUCCCUCUACAAGCUAGUAAAGGAAAUAUAUCACCA